UACAGAGGUCUCAACCGUUGUUCGGAUUCAUUGGGCGUAAAGGGUGCGUAGGCGGUCGCGCAAGUCGGAUGUGAAAUCUCAGGGCUCAACCCUGAAACUGCAUUCGAUACUGCGUGGCUAGAGUGCUGGAGAGGAGACUGGAAUUUACGGUGUAGCAGUGAAAUGCGUAGAUAUCAGGAGGAACACCGAUGGCGAAGGCAGGACUCUGGGCCGAUACUGACGCUGAGGAGCGAAAGCGUGGGGAGCAAACAGG
rnacentral:rRNA from 1 species